GAUGAACGCUGGCGGCGUGCCUAAUACAUGCAAGUCGAGCGAACAGACGAGGAGCUUGCUCCUCUGACGUUAGCGGCGGACGGGUGGGUAACACGUGGAUAACCUACCUAUAAGACUGGGAUAACUUCGGGAAACCGGAGCUAAUACCGGAUAAUAUAUUGAACCGCAUGGUUCAAUAGUGAAAGACGGUUUUGCUGUCACUUAUAGAUGGAUCCGCGCCGCAUUAGCUAGUUGGUAAGGUAACGGCUUACCAAGGCAACGAUGCGUAGCCGACCUGAGAGGGUGAUCGGCCACACUGGAACUGAGACACGGUCCAGACUCCUACGGGAGGCAGCAGUAGGGAAUCUUCCGCAAUGGGCGAAAGCCUGACGGAGCAACGCCGCGUGAGUGUUGAAGGUCUUCGGAUCGUAAAACUCUGUUAUUAGGGAAGAACAAAUGUGUAAGUAACUAUGCACGUCUUGACGGUACCUAAUCAGAAAGCCACGGCUAACUACGUG
rnacentral:rRNA from 1 species